CUGUAAGCCUGUGAAGGUGGCCUGUGAGGGUUGCUGGAGGUAUCAGAAGUGCGAAUGCUGACAUAAGUAACGAUAAAGCGGGUGAAAAGCCCGCUCGCCGGAAGACCAAGGGUUCCUGUCCAACGUUAAUCGGGGCAGGGUGAGUCGACCCCUAAGGCGAGGCCGAAAGGCGUAGUCGAUGGGAAACGGGUUAAUAUUCCCGUACUUGGUGUUACUGCGAAGGGGGGACGGAGAAGGCUAUGUUGGCCGGGCGACGGUUGUCCCGGUUUAAGCGUGUAGGUGUGUGUUCCAGGUAAAUCCGGUUCACUUUAACACUGAGGCGUGACGACGAGGCACUACGGUGCUGAAGCAACAAAUGCCCUGCUUCCAGGAAAAGCCUCUAAGCAUCAGGUAACAUCAAAUCGUACCCCAAACCGACACAGGUGGUCAGGUAGAGAAUACCAAGGCGCUUGAGAGAACUCGGGUGAAGGAACUAGGCAAAAUGGUGCCGUAACUUCGGGAGAAGGCACGCUGACACGUAGGUGAAGUGAUUUACUCAUGGAGCUGAAGUCAGUCGAAGAUACCAGCUGGCUGCAACUGUUUAUUAAAAACACAGCACUGUGCAAACACGAAAGUGGACGUAUACGGUGUGACGCCUGCCCGGUGCCGGAAGGUUAAUUGAUGGGGUCAGCGCAAGCGAAGCUCCUGAUCGAAGCCCCGGUAAACGGCGGCCGUAACUAUAACGGUCCUAAGGUAGCGAAAUUCCUUGUCGGGUAAGUUCCGACCUGCACGAAUGGCGUAAUGAUGGCCAGGCUGUCUCCACCCGAGACUCAGUGAAAUUGAACUCGCUGUGAAGAUGCAGUGUACCCGCGGCAAGACGGAAAGACCCCGUGAACCUUUACUAUAGCUUGACACUGAACAUUGAGCCUUGAUGUGUAG
rnacentral:rRNA from 1 species